rnacentral:rRNA from 1 species
AGUGAACGCUGGCGGUAGGCCUAACACAUGCAAGUCGAACGGCAGCACAGUAAGAGCUUGCUCUUACGGGUGGCGAGUGGCGGACGGGUGAGGAAUACAUCGGAAUCUACUUUUUCGUGGGGGAUAACGGAGGGAAACUUACGCUAAUACCGCAUACGACCUACGGGUGAAAGCAGGGGAUCUUCGGACCUUGCGCGAUUGAAUGAGCCGAUGUCGGAUUAGCUAGUUGGCGGGGUAAAGGCCCACCAAGGCGACGAUCCGUAGCUGGUCUGAGAGGAUGAUCAGCCACACUGGAACUGAGACACGGUCCAGACUCCUACGGGAGGCAGCAGUGGGGAAUAUUGGACAAUGGGCGCAAGCCUGAUCCAGCCAUACCGCGUGGGUGAAGAAGGCCUUCGGGUUGUAAAGCCCUUUUGUUGGGGAAGAAAAGCAGCAGGUUAAUACCCCGCUGUUCUGACGGUACCCAAAGAAUAAGCACCGGCUAACUUCGUG